rnacentral:lncRNA from 1 species
UGGGAAUUCAAUGUAAUGGUUUUUAGUCAUCACCCAGAGUUCUUUCUCUGGGCGUAGCUGGUUCAGUUCAUUACUGUUCCAUUGGAAAGGAUUUGGUUGAUCUCGUUGCUGAGGAUGGCCAGGUCCAUCAGAACUGGUCAUCAUAUAAUAUUGUUGUUGAAGUAUAUAAUGAUCUCCUGGCCCUGCUCGUUUUACUCAGCAUCAGUUCGUGUCUCUCCAGGCCUUUCUGAAAUCAUCCUGUUGGUCAUUUCUUACAGAACAAUAAUAUUCCAUAAUAUUCAUAUACCACAAUUUAUUUAGCCAUUCUCCAACUGAUGGGCAUCCACUCAGUUUCCAGUUUCUAGCCACUACAAAAAGGGCUGCCACAAACAUUCGUGCACAUACAGGUCCCUUUCCCUUCUUUAUGAUCUCUUUGGGAUAUAAGCCCAGUAGUAACACUGCUGGAUCAAAGGGUAUGCACAGUUUGAUAACUUUUUGAGCAUAGUUCCAAACUACUAGAGAUGACAUUUUCAAAGAAUCCUCAGUAGACUGUAACCUCUUUGAGGGCAGAGACUGUUUUUGUUGCCAAUUCUUACAACCUGGUAAUGGUGAUUAGUACAAAGUGCUUAAUACAUGUUUGUUUAAUUGAACUGAAUUGAAUUUACCCAGCUAGACUUAAAGCCCAAGAGAAAGGAACGGCUCAGUCAGACUCAUAAUCAACCUGACUGAAGUACACCCAGGAGUUUGGGUUCCUCUAGCGUCUGGAGCUUUUUUUUUCCCUUAUGUUUGGCAUUUUACUAAAUUUCACUAAAGGCAGCUAAGUAGCCAACUGAACUAAAUACUGGUCAAAUCUAGCCUCAGGCAGUUACUUACUGUUAGCAUGUGUGAUCCUAGGCAAGUCACCCUGCUUGCCUCACUUUCCUCAUCUGAAAAAUGAGCUGGAGAAGAAAAUGGCAAACUACUCCAAGUAUUUUUGCCAAGAACCCAAAUAGAGUCAUGAAGAGUCAGACAGACUUUCAUGAGUGUUUUUUACACUAAGUUCCUCAAAAAUGAUCUUAAAAGAGCUAUUUCAAGGCUGAGAUGCAUUCUGAGUCAUUUUAUGAGUCACCUAAUGCUUUUGAAAUCCAAUGAAUUUGGAGAAUUUGGGAAGAAAAAAUUUUCUGAAAUAAAAAAAAAAAAAAAAAAAAAAAAGCAAACACCCCAAAACCAUUUGUUUUCCUUUUAA